UACGGGGGGGGCAAGCGUUGUUCGGAAUUACUGGGCGUAAAGGGUUUGUAGGUGGCUCGCUAAGUCAGACGUGAAAUCCCUCAGCUUAACUGGGGAACUGCGUGUGAGACUGGCAAGCUCGAGUGCAGGAGAGGAAUGCGGAAUUCCAGGUGUAGCGGUGAAAUGCGUAGAUAUCUGGAGGAACACCGGUGGCGAAGGCGGCAUUCUGGACUGCAACUGACGCUGAAAAACGAAAGCCAGGGGAGCAAACAGG
rnacentral:rRNA from 1 species